CUUUUUUUUUUAAAUUUAGAGACAGGGACUCUCUAAAUUGCUUAGGGCUUUGCUAAAUUGCUGAGGUUAGCUUUGAACUCACAAUCCUCCUGUCUCAGCUUCCCAAGCCUCUGGUAUUGCAAGCACACACAGUGCCCUGCUUAAAAAAUUUUUUUUGGAAUGGAUAACUGGGUGGUAACUGUAGGUACAGUGUGGGUGGAGGAAGUAGGUCACUGGGGGCAUAUCAGUUGGGAUUAUAUCUUGUCCCUGGCUCCUGCCUGGGCACUUUCUCUGUCUCUCGCUCGGUCUCUCUCUCUGUCUCUCUCUCUCUCUCCCCACUUCCCAGUUACCAUGAGUUGAGAGCUUUCUUUCACCAUGCCCUUCUGCCAUGAUGUUCUGUCUCACUUAGACCCAGAACAAUGGAGUCUGCCAACCAUGGUCUGAACCUCUGAGACAGUGAGUACAAAAAGACUUUUCCUCUUCUAGGUUGUUCUUUUUUGGGGGAAGUGUUAGUCUUUAAAAAAAAUAUAUAUAUAUAUUUAUUUAUUUUUAUGUGAUGCUAAGGAUUGAAGCCAGUGCCUCACACAUGCUAGGCAAUUACUCUGCCACUGAGCUAUAGCCCCAGCCCAUCUAGAUUAUUCUUGUCAGGUUUUUUGAUCACAGCAAUGAAUCUAACUUACACAUGGGGAAUGAUAAUAUAGGUACAUAAAUAUUGAAGUCUAGGUGUUGUAGGGACAAACGAGGCAAGGCACCGAAGAUAGCAGGAAAUAGUUUUAUUUGGCUGCAGCCAGGUUCAGAGGGCACAGCUUUUGCUGUAAUCAAUUAAUCCCCUGAACCCCAAGUUCAGGUAGUUUCAGAGUUUUAUACCCAGCGUGUAAGGAGAGGUGCUCAGAAGUUCAGUCUGCAGAAGGUUCACAUAAAAACAGCCUUUUCUUUCACUGUUCUGGGCAAGUCAACUCUUCAAGGACAACACCUGAGAAGGGGAGAGCUUCUCCCCUUUCUUUCCUCCCCCUGUCAGCUGUUACCAUGGAGCCCAAUUGUAACUUAUCUUAAAAUUGUAGACAUCUCUGUGAAGCCCAGCUCAAGGCCAGAGGACUUGUUUGCACAUUUCUACAAAGUACUAUACUUAUGUUUGUGAAAAACAGUAAGGGGUGUCCAGCACCUAGAGUGCUGGUGUCUUUUCAGCCAGUGGCCAGGUAAACAGGGCGACACGAAAAUAGAAAGUUUAUCUACAUUGGACUCUUUUACAGAGACUCUUUUGCUGACAGUCCUAAAAUCAGCCAUGGUGAAAAGGGCCUUUCUGUGGAGAAAGGGGAUGCCACUUCAUAGGGGCUGGGGCUGUAGCUCAGUGAUAGAGUGCUUGCCUUGCACUGCAAGGCACUGGGUUCGAUCCUCAGCACCAUAUAAAAAUAAAUUAAGAUAUUGUAUCCAUCUACAACUAAAAAAUAUUGAAGUCUACCUUGUUCGGUAUUUUGAAUCAAGUAUUAUAAGACCUAUAAAUGAGAGGCUGGGGUUGUAGUUCAGUGUAGAGCACUUGCCUAGCAUGUGUGAGGCACUGGGUUUAAUCCUCAGUACCACAUAAAAAUAAAAGUAUUGUGUCUGUUCACAACUAAAAAUAAACAAACAAACAAACCAUAAAUGAUGUAUUGCAAUACUGGAAAAGGAACAGAUGAUCUUGUUUUGUUUUGUGGGAACUUAUGAAAACAUUAAUGAUUUUAUAUCUCAUUUGUCUUUGUGGGGACAUUGGGGGAAUUAGCAGCUUAAAUAUCUCAAAAGGAAUUUAUUUCAUUCUAUGUAACUGGCCAGAAGUAGAAGAAAGUCCACAAUGUCUUAGUUUGCAGAAGAAGACUGGGGAUCAGGGACAUGUUAAAAUUAUGUACCUUUACUUCAGUCUUCUUGAUCUUUUUUUGUGCAUAUGCAUCCUUCACACUUUUUUUCUUUUUUGGUACCUGGGAUUGAACCUGGAGGCGCUUAACCACUGAGCCACAUCACCAGUCCUGUUUACUUUUUAUUUUGAGAUAGUGUCUCCCUGAGUUGCUGAGGCUGGUUUUAAACUUGUGAUCUUCCUCCUUCUUCUGCCUCCUCAGCUGCUGGGAUUAUAGGCAUGCACCACAACACCCGGCUUCAUACUUUUUUCCUGGAUAUUAACUCUGGGUUAUUUAUUUUUUUAACUAGGGGUGUCUCUCAGUGGUAGAGUGUGUGCUUAACAUGUUCAAGGCCCUGGGUUUGAGCCCCAUUACUGGGGGAAAAAAAGUAGGAUUAUGUCCUUGAAGGAGCCCAGGGAAAUUCAUCCCAAUAUAUGGCACCCUGGAAUGCUGAUUAUUUUAAAUUAAAAGCCCUUGAAAAACAGCAAAUGCUGGAAGAUACUUUACUUGUGAUGCUUAUUAAUCUGCCCAAAGAUUGCCCUACCAAAGAAGAAAAGAGUUAAUUAUCUUUGGUCCCUUCCCUGAGUUUUCAUUAAAUAAACUUAUAUUUGAAGGAAGAAGAUAAAAUAAUAUAACCACACCCAGAUAGAUUUUUGUCACAAGUUAUUGUCAGUCUCCUAGGCCCAUUAGAUUCCCAAAGAGAUAAAAAAAUAAAAAAAUUGAAAAUUAAUUAAUUAAUUAAAAAAAAAAAAAGAUUCCCAAAGAGAGCCAUUUACUAACUAUUGUCUGAACUUUGGGCCCAGUUAUUCACCUAAAAUCAUUUGCUAUUCCUCAAAUUGUCAUCUUUCCCCUCCCUUAUGAAGAAGGGCACAUAAGCAUCUGGACCUCACUGGGUUAUUUGAGUAAUAAUGCUCUUGUGAUUCUCCACUGUGCAUAUUAAUAACUUAUAUAACUUUUCUCCUAUUAAUUUACUUAUCAUCAGUUUAUUCCAGUGAACCUUCUGAACCUUCACCCCUCUAUUAGCUAGUAUUCUCUACAGAUUAAUAGGAAAAAAAAUUGUUACUGGGCUUGAUGGUGUGUGCCUGUAGUACCAACAUUUGGGAGGCUGAGAGAGGAGGAUGGCGUGAGCCCAGACGUUGUAAUGCUGGAGCCAGGAACUUUUGGUCCUAUGACAGUACUAAUGAAACCAAGCCAAAGAGUACAAACACAGGCAAAGCUGAACAAAAGACAAGACUAGGCUUUUAUUCUGGUUGCUGGGGUGGUGGGCUACUAUCUGGCAACUUUUUACUGGUUGUGAGUGUGGUAUUUUUAUUUUCCAAGAAAUUUCUUCCUUGUGAAAGAUAGUUUACUCUUGGAGAGGUUAUGGUGCCAAUAUUCUGACUUUUAUGGUGCAACUGCUCUAGUGGCUUUCCUGGUCUUUACAAUAAGAUUGUUUAAAAAUGUGGGUGAGGAGGAAAGAAAAGAAAAAAAAAAAAAAGAAAGGUUCAUGUCAAUUUUAAGGAUUGACACAGGUUAGGGGUUAAGACCUCUAGUGUUUUUCUAUAUUUUCUGCAUAUCAUUCUUUCAGUGAAUGACCAGUAAGAGGCUAAGGCCAGUAUGACCUAAUCUUGAGGUUCCCCCAUCCCCCUAGUCAACCUCAGUUUUUUAAAAAUCUUCAAUCCCAGUGAUGAUCCCUAUCUGUCUCAGUUGGAGACCAGCCUGGGUAAUAUAGCCAGAUAUCAUCUCUAAACAACAACAACAACAAGAAAGAAAAAAUAGAAAAUAAAUUGUAGGAGGCUGGGGUUGAGGCUCAGUGGCAGAGUGCUUGCCUCGCACAUGUGAGGCACUGGGUUCGAUCCUCAGCACCACAUAAAAAUGAAUAAAAAAAUAAAGAUAUUGCAUCUGUCUAUAACUAAAAAAUAUUUUUUAAAAUUGUAGAUAUUUUCUCUUAGCAUGCACAUAUUAAAAAAAAAUUAAGGCAUGGUGGUGCAUGUGUGUAAUCCCAGCUACACAGGAGGAUCCCAAAUUCAAGACCAACCAGGACAAUUUAGGGAGAUCCUGUCUCAAAUAAUUUUUUUUAUUUUAAAGAGAGAGACACAGAGAAAGAACUUUAAUAUUUAUUUUUUUUUAGUUAUCGGCAGACACAACAUCUUUGUUUGUAUGUGGUGCUGAGGAUCGAACCCGGGCCGCACGCAUGCCAGGCGAGCGCACUACCGCUUGAGCCACAUCCCCAGCCCUCAAGUAAAAUUUUAAAAAGUAAAAAGGUCUAGGAAUGUAGCUUAGUGGUAAAGCACUUGCCUAAGCACAUGUGAAGCUCUAGGUUUGAUAAUCAGUACUAAAAAAAAACUAUUUUUAAAUUUUGCCAAAAAAUUCACUUACAAGGCAUGAUUUCAAGACCAAGUUAACUUGCACACCUUUUUAAAGUUGUCAAAAAUUGAUAUACAUUUUGUUUGAAAAACAAUGAUUUUGAAUUAUUUUUUUAAAUAUCUUUUAGUUGUUUAUGGAUCUUUAUUUUAUUUAUUCAUAUGUAGUGCUGAGAAUUGAACCCAGUGCCUCAAAAUGCUAGUCAAGUGCACUUCCACUGAGCUACAACUCCAGCCCUAUCACAGGGAAUUUUAAUGAAGCAUUUCAUAACCUAUUUUUGUACCAUUAUUUAUUUAUUUACUUUGAUGUGGUGCUGAGGAUCAAGCCCAGUGCAUUACACAUGCUAGGUAAGCCCUCCACCCCUCAGCUACAACUCCAGCCCCUUCAAAAUAUAUUGAUUAGUAAUUUAUUGACAUGGUUGUACCACUACAUCUGCAAAUGUAAAUGUAUUUAAAAUAGUGUACAAGAAAAAAGACAAGGAGUCAUUAGGGGCUUUACUUGAUUUGGAAAUUUUUUUUAAUUGGUUCUCCAAUAUUAUUACAAAAUUUUGUCACAAAAAUAUGGAUAUAUUUUAAUUUAUUCAGAUAGGCACUAUAGAUAAGCAGUUCUUAUUUUUCCAACAUGAACAAUGCUACCAUAAAUAUCUUUGAAUAUUUUCACUGAUGCUUUUUUGUUUCUUUGAAAAUAUAUUUCAAAAAGUAAUAAUGUGAGGUCAAACAAGGCAUAUUUUAAAUUUUGAUUCAUUCUGUUUAAAGUUAUUUCUGGAAAAAGGUGUGACAAUUUACACAAAGUUGUGGCAAAGAAAAGAGAAUAGUCUUUUCUUUUUAACUGGCAAGGAAUGUUAUCAUUCUUAAAUUUUUGUCAAGAUGGUGGGUGAGAAAUGGUUCUGAAUUACUUUAAUUUACAUUGCCCUGACUCCUAGUGAAGUUGAGCAUCUUUUCAAAUAUUAUUUGGCAUUUGCAUUUCCUCUUCAAUGUAGUGCCUACUCAUAUCUCAUAGUCUCACUUUUUUUUUUUUUUUUUUAAGGUGCUGGGAAUCCAACCCAGGGCUUCCUGCAUACUAGUCAAGCAUUCUACCUCUGACAUAAUACUCAACCCCAUGUUUUUAAAAAUUUUAAUUGCGUUCCUAUUUGUCACUAUCUUACCUGUUUUGUUAAUCCUUGCUUUUUAGAAACCUUAACCUAUUGUAAAAAGCAUUGUAGAUAUUUUCCCCCAGUCUAAGUCUGGUCUUUUGACUUUGCUCUGGGGAAUCAAAAUUGGCAUUAGGAUUGGAAUCAGUUUUCAUGGGAUUUUCCUGGCUGUGUGAUUUGACUUCCUUUAGCCACUCAGAGCCUUAAUUUCCUCUAAAACUGACCUACAUCCCCAACUUAAAAAAAAAAAAUUAUCUUUUUUUCUUGGAGGUGCUUAACCAGUGAGUCAGUCACAUCUCCAGCCCUUUUAAUUUUAUAUUUUGAACAGGUUUUCGCCAAAUUGCUAAGACUGUUCUUGAACUCAUGCUCCUAGGACCUGCCUCAGCCUCUGGAAAUACUGGGAUUACAGGCGAGAGCCACCCCACCUGCCUUAAUUUUUUGUCUUUUGAGACAGGGUUUUGCUAAAACACUGAGAGUCUCACUAAAUUGCUGAGGCUAGCCUCAAAUUUGCAAUCUUCUUGCCUCAGUGUUAGAAAUAAAGAGGUGCAGAAAACAUGUUCUCGAAAGAGGUUGGGCAAGGUUGACCUUUACUCUGGCAGAGGGCGUGUUACUGGAACCUGGCUAGCAAGCGCACCUGGGCAGCAGGUGGUCUGCUUGUAUCUAGAACCUACUGCAGCGCUGCCCUUCACUUUAAUUGGAGGAGUUUGAGGUUACAAUCUACGAGAUUGGCUAAUUUUAGAAUUAGGGCGGGCAAAAGGGAAGGGCUACAAUUGGAUCCAAUUAAGACAAUACUAGAUUUUGAAAAUGAACCAGCAGACUUUCUAUUUCAGCCUCUCAAAUUGCUGAGAUUACAGAUGUGCGCCAUCAUGACAGAUGAUGUCAUGAGCUUUCAAAGAAGAGUAUAAAACAAUCAAAUAUGACUGGGUGUUCCCUUGAGAAACCAGCCUCUACCUCAGAGCAAAGCCUGUCCAAGAAAGAGGGCAUGACCCUUGUCCUUGGAAAGACCCACAGAGCACUCCUAGGCAUAUACCCACCCUGCUGAAUUGUUCAUCUACAAAUAGCAGGAGCCAGGUGUCUCUGACUCAGUCAGGUUAGGUGAGGACCCAUAGCAACCCCCGAGCAACCACCAAUCAGCAUGAGACAGGGAAAAUACCUGGGAUGCCAGAUGACCCUCCCAGUAGUUUAUGGUGGUUGAUAACGUGUUGGGAAACCACGUAGUUCAGCAUGUACACCCCUCGUGGCUUAAACCAAUCAGUUCAAACGAAUCCCCCUCUUGUACUAACCAAUCACCCCUACCCAACUUGUUCCCGCCAUUGAAUGUGCUAAUCAAUGUUAAGAGUUGUUGUUUGAUUUUCCUGCGGUAUGGAAUGAUUUGCUGUGUGAUGUUGUGACGCAUAGAGUAUCCCCCCAAAACCUAUAAAAUCCCACUGAAUGAAGGACCAGGACUCACUCCCUGGGACUCACUCCCUGGGACUGCUGCGUCAGGAACGGUUGUGAGUCCAGGCUCGAGCUUGCAAUAAAGACUCUUGUGUGAUUGCAUCGGAUUCGGCUCCUGGAAGUGUUGGGGUCCCACGAAUCUGGCAUAACACUAUGUUGUAUGUGAAGUCCCUGCCUUCCCCAAAGAGUGUAUAAAACUGCUGCAAACCCUGGGCUUGGUGCCUUUCAGCAUCACCAGUUGCUGUGUGCACACGGAGGACCGAGCUAGCUUGCAAUAAACACCUCUUUGCUGCUUUCGUG
rnacentral:lncRNA from 1 species